GGAGAUGAAUGUCAGUCCUAGUUGCUUUCUGGCCAGGGUGUCUCAACCUGCUACAGCCUCUCUCUCUCUCCCUUGCUUGUCUUAGGAAAAGACAUUGUACACAGCUAUCUGUAAGGUCACAUCUGGUCUUGUGGGUAAGAACUUACUAUUAAUAAUAUCAGAUUUGGCUGCCCCUGGAGAUUCAAGUUCUCUGCCCUCUGUGGCUCCUGGUCCUAAACCCAGUUUUCUUCUCUUCCACUGCCCCUCAGCAUUUCCAAGUCUUGUGUAGGCCCAGAAACUCUCAGGUGCUUCUUUCACCCUUCAAAGCUGUCCUCAAACCCACAGCCCAGGAGCCUCUCACUCUCAUGGUGACCCCUGCCACCAUGUCAUGUGGAAUGCAGAGCCAUGUCAAACUGGGAAUUCUCUGGAGACUUGUCAUCUCUGCAGAAAAUGACCAGAUAUACAUUCAAACGAAGUGAAGACAGCAUGUUAAAGAGAUACCUGCACUCCCAUGUUCAUUGCAGCAUUAUUUACAAUAGCCAAAAUAUAGAAUCAACCUAAGUGCUCAUCAAUGGAUGAAUGGAUAAAGAAAAUGUGCUCUAUAUAUACAAUGGAAUACAACUCAACUAUUAAACAGUAAGGAAGUCCUGCCAUUUGCAACAUGAAUGAAUUUGGAGGACAUUGUGCUCAGUGAAAUAAGCCAUGCAUGGAAAGAUGAGUUUACUUAUAUAUUGAAUCAAAAAAGUUGAAUUUCAGCAGAGAGUAAAAUGGUGAGUGCCCAGGGGCUGGGUUGGGGAAAGUGGGGUGAUGUGGUUAUGUUGAUCAAAGUUGUGUCAGCCAGACAAAAGGAGUAAGUUCUGGAGAUCUAUUGUAUUGCACGGUGACUGUAGUUAAUAAUAAUGUGCCCUUGAAAAUUGCUAAGACAGCCUGGGUGCUGUGGCUCAUGCCUGUAAUCCCAGCACUUUUGGAGGCCGAGGAAGGCAGAUCACGAGGUCAGGAGUUCAAGACCAGCCUGGCCAAUAUGAUGAAACCCUGUCUCUACUAAUAAUACAAAAAUUAGCUGGGCAUAGCCACGCCAGCCUGUAGUCCCUGCUACUCGGGAGGCUGAGGCAGAAGAAUUGCUUGAACCCGGGAGCAGAGGUUGCAGCAGUGGGCCGAGAUCAUGCCAAUAUACUCCUGCCGAGGCGACAGAGUGAGACUCCAUCUCAAAAAAAGAAAAGAAAAUUGCUAAGACAGUAGACCUUCAAUGUUCUCACCACAAAAAAUGAUAAGUAGGCAAGGUGAGGUAUCUGCUAAUUAGCUUGAUUUAAUUAUUGUACAAUGUGUAUACACAUAUCAAAACAUUGAGUUGUAUGCUAUUUGUAUAAAAUGUAUAUUUGUCAGUUAAAUCUUAAAGCUGGAAAAAAUCAAUAAAAUAUGUAUUUGUUUAUUGCCUUUUUCAACUAGAAUGUAAGGGCAAGGAAGGUAGGGAUUUUGUUGAUGUUAAUCAUUAAUAUAUGUCUGGUGCCUAGCAGAGUAUCUGGCAUAUAAGAAAUAUUCAUAAACUAUUUACCAAAUUAAUAUAGGAAAAUUGUAGGCUCUAUCUCACUUCCCUUUUCCUUUCUCCACACCCCCAACUUUGGUCUAUAAUAGUAGUUCUCAAUUCUACCAACAUAUAGAAUCAUCUGGGGAGCUUUAAAAACAUGCCAAUCCCUGAGCUUCACCCAGACUAAUUAAAUCAGAAUUUCUUGGAGCAAGGCACAGACACAGGAGUGCUGUAAAAGCUGCCCA
ensembl:lncRNA